GGAAACUUCUGACCACAGAAAUGUGAACUCUGCUGGGGGCUUUCUAAAUGCCUUUUUCUAUUUUCAUUCUUACAGGGUGGUUGCAAACUGAGAAAUAGGUUGGGCUCAAAGUCCAAAACCACAAGUGCAAGUUGCAUCAAGCCUGUGCAAACUACAAACAACAGAACAGUUGCUCACAUUUCUUUUGUUCACAAAGGUCUUUUUGUUCCUCUAAAUGUAAGCAUUCUACUGUAUGGAGGUCUUUGAGCCCAUUCUGGUGCAUCAGAAUAAGACGUGGGAUGAAGCCCUGAACUACUGCAGACAGAACUACAUUGACCUGAUACCAAGUUACCCAAUUCAGCACAGUAUUCACAGCACUCAAGGAACCAAAGAAGGAGCCAAAGAAGAAUCCCCACCACCUCACCAGUGCCAGUCACAAUCAUGGAGGAGACCCUGCAGCUGCCAUGGAAUCCGGAGGGAAUAUGGAAGAGAGAGAGAAAAAAAAAAAAACCUUUUGGGGACUUAAGAGUAAUUUUUAUGACCAUAAUUGAGUACUAUAUAUAGUGUUACAAUUUGUUACUUUAAAUGUUAAAAGUAAUUUUAAUUCAAAUGCAUUGGACGUUUUAACCAAGUCAGUGGAAUUGUCAGUGUGAUAGCGUGCCUUCUCCGGUUUAAAUUUGAAGCUACAAUAGAAAUAUGCUGUUUUGAAUGAAUGUUUUUUAUGUCUAUAUAAAGUGGUUGCAUAUUGUUAAAACAAGUCAUGGUAGUGAUAUCUUUGUAGCACUGACGACUCUAUAAAUCAGUGGCAAAGUAAAGCAAAUGUCCGGCGAAUAUCGUACCUAAAACUAACUUUGCAGCACUAGAAAAGCUAUUAUUGCGGUGCCUGGGAGGUGACAUGGUAGGUUCACUAAGUUUUGUCAUGGCCACGACAUAAUAAAUUGUGGGAAACUGAUAAUAUGUCAUGGCCACGAGAUAUUAAUUUGUGGGAACGUCAUAUUAACUCAUAGAACGUGAUGUUAUGUUCUGGCUACAAGACCAUUUUGUCGAGGUAACCACAUCCUUAUGUUGUGGCUUCGAGAUGCUAUGUUCAGGGAACAACAUCCAUUUGUCAUGGCCACGACUUCUUAUGUUGAGGGAACAACAUAUUUUUCUCGUGGUCAUGAGUUUAAUGCGUAAACAAACCUGCGUGACCAUAGCAACUUGAAAUACUUGAAGGGUGACCUUUUGAUUGGCCAGGGCUAUACUGCAUUUUUACUGGUCUCUUAUUUAAAAAAAAAAAAAAAGCAUUUAAG
ensembl:lncRNA